ensembl:misc_RNA Y_RNA Y RNA
GGCUGGUCCGAAGGUAGUGAGUGAUCUCACUUGAUCACAGUCACAGACUGAACUCCCUGCUCGGCUCUUCCCCCCCUCCUCACUAUGCACUUGACUAGUCCUAC